GGGGGUAUAGCUCAGUUGGUAGAGCGCUGUCCUUGCAAGGCAGAUGCCAUGGGUUCGAAUCCCAUUAUCUCCA
rnacentral:tRNA from 1 species